rnacentral:rRNA from 1 species
CCUACGGGCGGCAGCAGUGGGGAAUAUUGCGCAAUGGGCGAAAGCCUGCCGCAGCGACGCCGCGUGAAGGAUGAAGGUCUUCGGAUCGUAAACCUCUAUCAGCAGGGAAGAACGGUCACUGUGCUAAUCAGCAGUUAAUUUACAGGACCAGCAAAGGAAGCACCGGCUAACUCCGUGAACGUAGCCGCGUCAAUACGCAGGGUGCGAGCGUUACCCGGAAGUACUUCGCGUAAAGCGCUCGCAGGCGGUAUGUCAAGUCAAGUGUGAACUCCCCGCGCUCAACGUGGGAACUGCCUUUGAGACUGGCAGACUGGAGUGUGUGAGAGGAUAGUGGAAUUGCGGGUGUAGGAGUGAAAUCCGUAGAUAUCUGGAGGAACAUCAGUGGCGAAGGCGACUAUCUGGCACAUAACUGACGCUGAGGAGCGAAAGCGUGGGUAGCAAACAGGAUUAGAUACCCUGGUAGUC